GAUCCUGGCUCAGGAUGAACGCUAGCUACAGGCUUAACACAUGCAAGUCGAGGGGCAGCAUGGUCUUAGCUUGCUAAGGCCGAUGGCGACCGGCGCACGGGUGAGUAACACGUAUCCAACCUGCCGUCUACUCUUGGACAGCCUUCUGAAAGGAAGAUUAAUACAAGAUGGCAUCAUGAGUUCACAUGUUCACAUGAUUAAAGGUAUUCCGGUAGACGAUGGUGA
rnacentral:rRNA from 1 species